UAAUGUCGGGAACUCUAAGGAGACUGCCGGUGACAAACCGGAGGAAGGUGGGGACGACGUCAAGUCAUCACGGCCCUUACGAGUAGGGCUACACACGUGCUACAAUGGCCGGUACAACAGGUUGCUAACCCGCGAGGGGGAGCUAAUCCGCAAAAACCGGUCGUAGUCCGGAUCGCAGUCUGCAACUCGACUGCGUGAAGUCGGAAUCGCUAGUAAUCGCGAAUCAGAAUGUCGCGGUGAAUACGUUCCCGGGCCUUGUACACACCGCCCGUCACACCAUGGGAGUGGGUUGCACCAGAAGUAGCUAGUCUAACCUUCGGGAGGACGGUUACCACGGUGUGAUUCAUGACUGGGGUG
rnacentral:rRNA from 1 species